GAUGAACGCUGGCGGCGUGCCUAAUACAUGCAAGUCGAGCGAACAGACGAGGAGCUUGCUCCUCUGACGUUAGCGGCGGAGGGGUGAGUAACACGUGGAUAACCUACCUAUAAGACUGGGAUAACUUCGGGAAACCGGAGCUAAUCCCGGAUAAUAUAUUGAACCGCAUGGUUCAAUAGUGAAAGACGGUUUUGCUGUCACUUAUAGAUGGAUCCGGGCCGGUGUAGCUGGUUGGGAAGGUAACGGCUUACCAAGGCGACUAUGCGUAGGCGACCGGAUAGAGUGAUAGGCCACACGGGAGCGUGGACAGGGUCCAUACGCCUACGGGAGGCAGCAGUAGGGAAUCUGCCGCAAUGGUCGAAAGCCUUACGGAGCAACGCCGCGUGAGUUAUGAAGAUCUUCGGAUCGUAAAACUCUGUUAGUAGGGAAGAACAAAUGUGUAAGUAACUAUACACGUCUUGACGGUACCUAAUCAGAAAGCAACGGCUAACUACGUG
rnacentral:rRNA from 1 species